AUGGUGGAUCCAGGGAAGCCGGCCUUCACCCCCAAGAAGGGCAAGCCCAUCAUCGUCAUGUUCGUCGGAUUGCAGGGCCAGUCUGACUCACCAACCAACCUCGCCUGCUUGUUCUGUUUAUUGUUCUACACCUAUUACUGA
rnacentral:rRNA from 1 species